rfam:Schistosoma mansoni strain Puerto Rico chromosome 1, complete genome
AUUCAGCUGACGAGUCCCAAAUAGGACGAAACGCGCGUGCUGGAU